UGGGGGAUCGUCUAACGGCAGGACAUCAGACUCUGGAUCUGAGUGUAUAGGUUCAAGUCCUAUUCCCCCAG
rnacentral:tRNA from 1 species